GGCCCCGGCUCAUUGUGCUCCCCUCACACCGGCCGGAGUUGGCAGCAGCGCUGGAGGCCCCGGACCGGUGACCACAAAGAGGGAGCCGGGGGCCGGACGGGAGCGCGGCGGCGGCGGCGGCGGCGGCGGCGGCGGCGGCGGCGGCGGCGGCGCCGGCUGAGCCCAGGCCAGGCCCCUCCCCUCAGCCGCCCGCCCGCCUGCCCCGCCCCCGCCGGCGGCGCCCCGCCCCUCCCCUAACCGCCAGACUAGCCUGGUGGGGGGGGGCCGCGCGCGAAGACAUGGGGGAGAAGUUGGAGCUGAGGCUGGAGUCGCCCGUGGGGGCCGAGCCCGCCGUCUACCCGUGGCCGCUGCCGGUCUACGUUGUGACAGAAAUAAAGUUUCCAGAAGUUGUGUUCCUGCAAUAAGAAAUAAAGAUGUGACCUUCCAGUUGUGUAAAGCUCAUGAAUGCUGUGUAAGUGCGUCGGGUGCAAUAAGGAACCUGGAGCUAAAUGGGCUAGUUCUGAGAGAGGGAGACCUAACUACGUUAACAAAGGAAAUCCAUCUCCGUCCUUUGCGAGGGCAGUCCCGAGCUCAUGUUUUAACGGACGUGAAUGCAAAGCGUGGUUCUCACGUGACUUUCUGAAGAGCCCCCGCAGCAGGCCCAGGUACCUUGAGUGGACUAAGUCUCACUUUAUGGCAGUGGCAUCAGAUGGUGGCUACAGAAGGUUGCCGACGUCCCUGUGUGCUCUGACAGGCUCUGCAGACCGGGGGACGAAAGGACCAAGGAACUCUGACCGCCCUCGGGAAUCCCAAGUGACUGGAGGGACACCGCGUCAGGGCCCCAGGCAGUGUCGCCCACUGUUCCAGAGGCGGGCGGAGGCCCGCAGCCUCAUUUCGUCCCGUCCCUUCCAGUAUCUAAAAUUGUUGUCAAGAUGCUGGGUUAACUCAGGCAGGUCUACAAAGGCGUCCCAAGCAGCAAACAUGUCUGUGAUGAAAUAGCCAAUGAAAGAGAUUUGGGAUUUGGGGAUGCUGCAGGUAUUUCUGUCAAAAACUGCCAUCACCACAGGCAAGUCCUGUCGCUUCUCUUCAUCAGUCUGAGAAAAACAUUCGUCUGAGAUACGUGCGGCCCACUCAAUGCACUGCUCCAGGGGUCGGCAGGGACUGGACACAUCAGCACACUUAAUCAGUCAGGGUGCCUGGGUGUUUGGCAGCAGCUAAGCACGGAAGCUUAGGAGGAGGGGGCAGCUCACCUCGAUCCCACGUCAGUGCCUCGUUCCCCGACGGGGGCGACCUCAGCCUUGGCAGCGGCAGAAAAAGCGGCAGGGGAAUCUUCCGCUUCCAGGGCCUACUGCUGGUAGAUAGCAGGGAAGAGGAGCUUCUUGUUGGGAUGCGUGAAGACUCUUCACGCUGCAGCUCCUUCCCAGACGUCGGUGAGCCUGGUGAUUUGGGCCGGUGGUCUUCACCCAGCACUUUUUUUGUUGGCUUCUUCAGCAGCAGGGAACAGCAUGCGGUUGGGGCAGAGGACAGCACGGCAUGGGAUGGGGCCUUCACCUCCCUCUUCUCACCUCCUUCCGGGGCUGUCAUUUUCCAUUGUGCCCCUGUUUUCCCCAGCCCCCGUGUCCUCAGUGGGAGGUGACUGGAUGGUAGCGGCUUCCUGACGUUGACUCCCUGCUCAGGGCAGAAGGCCGGCGCUGGAGCAGCAGGGUGGUCCCGGUCAGAUGUGGCAGCCUCCCAGGAGGGCAAAACCAGCGGGUGACAGCCCACCGGGGCCCCACGGCGGGGCGGGCGGCGGGGCCGGUGGGGCCGGCGGCGGUGGCGGAGCCAGGUACGAAAUUUACACAGUAAAUUGCCCAUGUAGGACCGGUUGUGCGCCAAGCGAUCCGAGAACAGAGUGUGAAACUGGGAGAGCUUCUCCUUCGUUUCACCUCCUCUCAAGGUCUAGCACGCACUGGACACUGGAUGGCUCAGCCUGGCGCUUGUGACAUGUCCAUUGUACUCGUCACAGAGAAAGGGUGGGCGGGGCAGGGUGUGGGGCGGGGGUCGCAUGCAAGCCCAGCCCGUGGAGAAACCCCCGCCCAAGGGCAAAGGGCGGGGCCCCAGAGCCCGACCCCUUCUGGACUUUCUAGUGGCUGGGACUUCUCGCUGUGGGUGGCAGGUGUUUGGCACCGGAUGGGCCACCAUGCGGAGACUGUUGGGGACUCUGGAAGCCUUCUCCUGCAGAGCUCGCCCUGCCUGGGCACCGGCUCUGCAGGCCCCUCAGCCCUGCGUAUGUAUCGGCCAGCCCUUGCCCCCCAAGGGGCCCAGGGGCCGGAGCCUGUUCAGAGCUGAGUGCAGGAGGCACCCAGAGCUUGCCAGGCUGUGGCCCGCCUCCUCCAGGGACCUCCCCAGCUUCUCUGCGAGGCCUGAUGACGGGAGCACCUUCUCCAGGGCUGCUCAGCUGCCAGCAUCACCAUGAGCCAGGUGGCGAAGGUUUCUGAGCAGGGGAUGCAGAGCCCUGACCCGACUGGGUGCUGCACCCCACGAUGUCCCUUCCUGGCAGAUAGGUUCUUUUUUCACUUCCUUUUCAAAAUUUGGUAAAACAACAUUUAAACCUUCGACUGCUCUUCAGGGUGUACAGAUGGUAGUGGCUUAGCCGGGAUUCGAAGCAAGGCUGUGUGAUUCCAGAGCUCGUGCUCUGGACUGUGGCGCCUUCUUAUCAUAUAUGCUUCAUGUGUUACUUUUGUUUUUUUUUUCUUGUGGCCCUUAUGGUACUUAGCCCUAAGUGCCAUACGUGUGAGGAACACGUACACUGCCCUGUAGGAGGUCUUCUUUUGUUCAACGCAUGAAUUGCUCAUCCACCACACGGGGUUCUAGUCUCAGAAGAUACAGGUCAGGGAGCACCAGCUGUCAGCAUAGCAGCGUCCCACAUUUCUAACUGAGGCUUGCAGCCCAGAUUUUCCCUUUGGUCUAGUGUGAAGGAUCCAGAUAUGUAAAGCUUAUAUUCUAGACAAAUCAUGGGCUAUCCGGAAAGAAAUUCACCAGUAAAUUAUUCCAGUUUCUCUGGCCUUCCUGGAGUAUAUCCAGUAAGGCAUCUCAUUCGUGUCUGGAAAGCAAAUAUAUCAUUUAUUGCAGCUUCAUCGUGGAGUGAGGUAUUGGUUUAAAGUACGAUCAACACAAUUUGGUCAUUGUGAGUAUGGCAGCUGGGUCCACUGUUUACUACACAUAUGUAACUCUAGCGAUUCUUAUGCCCAAGAGAGGAGACAUACUCUUGGGUGUCUAGGGCAAGGGAAACGUGUUGUUAUUCAGGAGCUGGAAGCUUCAGCAUGACAGGAAAGAAUUGAAAAAUCCUGGUCUACACAUGACUUUACCUUGUUUGAAACUUGUUUCUUUGGCUUGCUUCAUUGGAGUGUUUUCUCUCUCCUGGGGCUGACAUUGUGUGUUCUGUAUCACGCAUGUGACAUGUAGAAGUUUCAGAACCCAGAGUCAUAUAGAUGAGUAAACAUUUAUUUAUAUAUUUUAGUUUAAAAUCUAUUGAAAAUAACACUGGGCAUAAUUCAUAUAUUGCAAAAUUAGUUUGACCCUCUGCCCAUGAGAUUCGUUUUAUGAUAUGUGACAGCUAAUUUGGACUUCCAUCCCCAAUAAACUUUGAGGUUUGAGGACACAAAAGGUUUUGCUCAGACCUAAAUUCUGUCUGAAAAAAAGGGGUAAAUAUUAUAAGCCCUUUCUAACCUCUCCAGGAGCGGAAAUGAUUUACAGCUGUGCCAUUGAACCAUAAUUCCUUGAUCUCAUUUGAGAAGAGUUCUGUAAGAAACGAUGUCUUGAUUUUUGUUUGUUUUGUUUGUUCCCUGUUUUCUUGUCUUGCUUACCAACAAUCCAUUGUAAUGCAUGAGUUAGUAUGGCAGCAGGCUGAGUGUUCCCUGGAGCUCAUUAAAUGAACUUUUGUUCCUAAAAUGAUGUUUGUCUCCUUGUUUUCAGCCCCUCUUCUUUCCUCUGCCCUUGACUAUAACCAGAGCUCAGCAAAAGCUGACUGGCUUUGUGCAGACCCUACUUAAGGUAGUCUUUUCUUAAUUAUUUUAUUCGUGGCUCCUCCAUUUCAUUGUUUGCCUUCUCAAAAUGUGUUGAAAUCUUUCUGUGGUUGAUGACUUCCACAAUGUCUUGGCUUUUAUUGGUUGCUUAAUUUUGGUAUUUCUACAGUUUUAUUUAAAUACGGUUUCAGGAGGAACAGAAAGUAAAUGUUUCCUAGUCUGCCAUCUUGCGCUGAAAAUUCCUGUUGAUUUUAGCAUCCAGUGUUCCCAUGGGAAAAAACCCAACCCUGGCAUUAAUAGAUGUAACACUCAAGAUUUCAGCUUUUCCUGAGCAAUCACUAAGGAUUUAAUAUGUGGUCAUUUCUAAUGGGAAAAUAAUAACUGUCUCAUGGAGUUGAUUUGAGGAUUAAAUUAGAUAAUGAACAUGAAAAUGCUUUGUAAGGUUUAAAAAUCUAUAAAAAUGUUUUGUGUUAUUAUUUGAUUGUUUCUGUUCUGUUCUGUUCAUUCCACAGAAUCAUCUUGAGAACACAUACUGUUUUUUAUGUACCUGGUAUAUAUCUCAAUUAGUUUGAAGAAUUUCCCAGAUACCUGUUAAUAUGUAGUUCUCCAAUUCCAAUCUUGCCACGUCCUGUACCAGUGAAACAGCACAUAGGAAUUUUAUUUUUCUUUCUUUCUCUGGGUUGUUCAGAACCCAACGAAAGAACAAUGGAAUGGCAUCAAAGAGAUCAGGGUUCUUGACCCAGAUUUACCAUAAAAUAAUUGUGUCCUCUUGGGAAAAUUAUAGUUAUUCUAGGCCCCUUUCCUUCUCUUUACUUUGACGGAGCUGCACUAGAUGACCCCAAAUAACAUUGCACUCUUUCAGUCGUAGCUUAGAUGUGAUUGGUUUUCUGAAACAAAUGACGACAAUGACACACGAAGCUGUGCAACAUCUCUGUAACUAUGUUUUCUUAGAGUUGCCUCCAUUGUACAGAUGAUAAGAUGGCUGAGCACAGAAGCAGAUGUUUUGACCAGAGGUUCCGGAGUAAAUGGAGCUAAACCACAAGUUUCCUUCUUUCCUGACGCUCACUUAGCCACAACAUAGGCUUCUGAAUAUUAAGCUGUAAAGCAUAUUAUCAGCAUAGUUUAAAAGAAGCUGUUCUUCUAGGAUUUCCAAUUAAUAGCAGGAGGUUUUGAAAUCCUUAAAAGAUCAUCUAAUUUUGUGAGAUUUACGGCUCUAUUUUCCUGUCAAGCAAGUUGUAUUAGUGCCAGACAAUCAUCUGAGCUUCUGGAUGCUUCUCUGAACCUCUUGAAUUUUUCUUCUUGCUAUCUGAAAUUCAUGCCAGAUAAGCCUUUUUGUAGAGAGUAUGUAGAGACUUGUCUAUUUUCAUGUAAGAAAGCGAUGCAGUGAGUCAGGAUGGGGGUUAAGCCCUCAUUCUCAGAGUGGUAUUGAGCUCCUGGUGAAAUAUAAUCAUCAUUUCCUCAGAAUAGAAAAGCAGUUAUCUCAAGUUUUUAAUGCCAUUAACUAUUUAUACAUUUAUGUAUAAUACAUAUAUUUAUUGUACCUACGAGGUGAGUUCUCUUCGGGAAGUACAAAGCUAUUUGAGACAUAGGUUGUUCAUUUUUUUGUUUUCCCACAAAUACUGUGACCCUUUGAGCAGGAAGGUCUAUAUUUUACUAACAUCUAGAACAAGCAGCUAACACGGUGUCUAAGAUGUAGUCAAUAAAUAUGAAAUAGAUAAAUGAACACAUUUUAAAGGAAGGGCCAGGACAUGAACAAAUAGAAAAUUUUCCUGUUCAGUCACAAAACCACAACAGACAUAAAAAUGAUACAGACAACAAGUGCUACGGUCAUUCAAAGAAGGCAUAGAAUAGAUACAACGAGGAUCUCCUCUAUGGCACAGGGAACUCUACUCAAUAUUUUGCGAUAACUUCUAAGGGAAAAGAAUCUGAAAACGGAAUCACUGUGCUCUACACCUGAAACUGACACGACAUUGUAAAUCAACUAUACUUCAAUUAAAAAACAAACAGACAAUGACAACAACAAAAAACCAAAGAGGUCGUAGAAGUUCUUAUGAGAUUCCAUAAGAGAAGAGAAGCCAAAUGAGGACAGGAGAGAAGGCUUUUGAAUCAGUUCAGAGGAGAAGUCACAGAGGAACAAGUCUUUGACCUGAACUUGAGAUUAAGAUUAAGAUGAAUUAAUCUUAAUUAAUUAAGAUUGCAACACAGGGAUAUUACAGAUGAAGGUAAUCACAUAAACUUACUAUACUGAAACUUGCAGAGGUUAUGAGUGUUGUUCAAGAUCCCAACGCAAGUGCAUUGUGGAAUCAGAAUUUUAAGUGAGGCCUAAUGAACUGAAAACAAACACAAAAACAAGCCCUUCCUGUGAUAACCACGUUGCCUUUGAAGUCGUUUUUUUUGGUGGGUUGGUAGAAACUGGUUCCAGUGUUUUGCACAACUGUACAGUGUUUCUUGCAGGAAUGACUAGUUCUGUCCCCCCGCGGCCCCCAACCCCCGAGUUGAUCCUCAAAGUUUCCUUUAGAAUGGACUUGCUAAAACGCAGACAUGUAAGUAUUCAUGACGCCUGUGUCCAAUCAUUUCUCCUGCCAUUGCCUACUUCACUUCUGGAUUAUAUGAACAAUUCACUGUCUUCAUUUAUGCUUUUCCCUCCUCCAAGAAUUCCUUUCUCCCUAUGGGGCACCUGGGAAACCCACUUCAUUUUUCAAAACUCAAUUUACAUAUUAUGUCUUUUGUGCACUCUUCUUUUUAGUGUUGUGAUCACACGCUCCUUUUUGCUACCCUUGCACUUCUGCAUGCCUGAUUGUUGCACUCGCUACACUGUAUUGUGACUGUAUUUUUUACAUAUCUCUGUGUUCUCCUGGGCAACAUUCCUUGGGGCCAAGGACUACCUUUUUUCAUCUAUUGAUGCUGCCUUAGCAUGUUACUUGUUGUGAAGUAGUUAGUUAUAAAAAUGAGAUUUGAAUAAAUUAAAAGUUGUUAUGUGCAUAUUACUUAUUAUCACUUUACAGAUAUAACAGGAAAAAAUAUUAAUGUUGGUGCUGAAAGUUCACUUCUAGUAAAUGGUGGUGCUACUUGACUCUACUUAUAAUAUUUUCCCCACUAUUUUAUAUCUUUCUACCUGAUAGCUCUUCUUUAUUUCCAUGUAUGUUUCUUUAUUGCUAAACCAAGAAAAACAGGUAUGAGGGUAGGGCUAGGCCAUACUUGGCUGGAAUAGUAAAGAAAUUGUGUGGGGUUUUGGUGAGAAAAUCCUGAAGCAUACAGGUCUGCAUCUUCCCUUUGAGGCAUGUGGAGGGGUCUGCUUCUAAAGAGUUUUAUUAGCAACUAGUCAACAUGCUUUUGCACAAGGCUCCUGAUUAGCUGUUGGUAUACUAAGAGUGAAUCAGAGUUAGCGUAGUUUCUGAUUUCUUUUACAUUGUUAAUGUGGAUGAUCAUUUUUUACUGCUGGGGGUGGUGGUGGUGGGGAGUGAGGGAAUGUUCCUUUCCUGCUCCUGGUGUCUCAGUCCCGUCAAGAGAGCUCUUAGGGUCAUUUCAACCCUGCUUCUUUACUGACUCUGCCCCAGGGUGAUCAAGUGACUUAUAUAGAAAGCUUGAAAAGAAUUAAGUGAGCAUGCUUGCCUUGACUAAUUCUGUUCUCUCCCUUGAGAGUGUGAGUGAGUGUCUUCUGUUUCUCUCAUUCUGUGUAUUACGAGUUAGUAAAUCUGCCCAAUUCUGGGGUUCUGUUAUGUGAUCAUUGCGUUCAAACUGGAUUCUCAAGCCAAGGUUAUCAACAGUAACAGGAAUAUUCGGCCCUCCAUCUUUUCUCUUUUCUCUUAUUUCCUAAUUUAUUCCAAACCAAAUGGAAUUAAGGCAUUGUACUUGCUGGAAGGUAAUGAAAAGACCCUAACAUUUGGCGCAUUACCUGGGAACACUGAGAAAUAAAAAGAAAGGAGCAGGCAUUUUGGAGAGGAAAAUGUCCAUGUGGAAAAUAUUUUGGUACUGCCAAGGAAGGUAGUCUAGUGCCUUGGUCUUUAAUGUAUGGUGGGAAGUUGAGACCUUUGACUGUUUGAAAAUAUUUAGGUUUGUGCAGUAAACUGCUGAAGCCUAGAAAAGGUUUAAUGCAUGCUGUAAAAGUGUCCUCCGUGCUUGCUGGGAGACUAAUAAACUUGGAGGCUUAACACAAUAGAAAUUUACUAUCUCACAGUUGUAGAGGCCGGAAGUGUGACAUCAAGGCGUCAGCAAGGCUGCUCUCCCUACAGAUGCUCUAGGGGAGAUUCUAUCCCUGCCUCUUUCAGCUUCUGCUGGCGGCCAGCUUCCUUGGCUUGAGGCCACAUCACUCAGCUUUUGUCUCUGUCUUCACAUCACCCCCUUUCUGUGUCUGUAUCUUCUCUUUUGUCUGUCUCAAAUGUCCCUCUGCCCUUCUUGUAUAAUAAGGACAAUUAUCAUUCUAUUUAGGACCCAUCCAGAUAAUAUAGGAUGGAAAUCCCAUCUCAAGAUCCUUAAUGACAUUUUGCAAAACCUUUUUUUUAUCAAACGAGGUAACAGUCAAGGAUUAGGACAUGGGUAUAUCCUUUUGGGGGCCACCAUCCAACCCACUAUACCAGCCGUAAGAUACUUUGAUUUUGGCUGAUGGCUGCAGCUUAUGGCGUGGGAGAGUGGCUGUUUCUUUAGAGCCACUUAAGUAAAAGUCUGACAUAAAGAAAAGGGGUGUUAGGGAGUUGCAGGUGACUGAGCAAUACCUGGAGCGGAAUGAAUAAGGCACCCACCUGGAGGAUCUUUAGUAUACAGAGACCUUUACCUGGCACUUGACUUGAGAGUGUGCAGGAGUUUACAGGGCAGGAAAGUCUCAGGCAGCCGUCCACCUUGCCUUACUCUUCAGGUACAGUUUUUCCCAAGCAGGCUUGACCGAGAAAAAGACUCAAUUGUAAGGAAACCCUGUUUUGUAGAACUUGUCGGCAUUGACACAUAUGGUCUACCGUAGGCUCAAGUGACUCCCUUUACAUGUGGACGCAAGCUGACACUGGAUUUGUCAAUUAUGUUGGAGAAAGAAGUGUUCUCUUAAAGGCAGCUGCCUUUGGUCUAUGCAGUUCCAUAGCAGGAGGCAGUGAAAAUGGCCAUGGCGGCAUAGGACUGUCAAAUCUACGCAUCAGAACUGGAGGUGUAAUGUCACUCGACAGAAGCCAUAAUCAGUUCAGUACUGCACUGUGAACCACAAGGUCAUCAAUGAGGAACGAUAACUCAAGAGUCCACGUGUGACAGAUGCUCAGGGCUGUGCACUGCACAUGGCAAAUUCAUAGUGACAAAUCAACGUCAGGCUAAUAGAUUCCUCCUGGUUCGAAGUUGGCAGGUCAGAAAUUUCAAAUAAAUGGCAUAGACUAAUGGACAUCCUAGUGAGGCUAAAACGAAAGAGACUUUAUCUUUCUCUCAAAUGCCAUUGAGUUUCUGCUAUGUUCUUUGGUCGAAUUCUGUACUGGAUUCUGGGAACAAAAAUGUGCCUAGUUUCACUCUUCUAGGAGUCGGGGAUUGGCUUGCUUUUGAGGUUGUUUUUAAAUUUUGGGGAUAGUGCUGUAAAAUCAAAUUGUAUCUUAGGAACUCUUUAGACUCUUUAAAAGCAUGGUUCAUGAGAGACUUGAUAAACUGAUAAAACAGCCAAGGCCCUAAGAGACCCACACCCGUGUCAGUGACAGAAGUCCAAGCUACAGAUACUGAAGGAGCCCUCAGUCCCAUUCAGGCAGUUAAAGCCCUGUCACUGAGAAUGAACCAAAUGUACAUUUGGGAGGAUUGUUUAUGGACAUUUAGGACUUUGGAUUUUUAACCCACAGUAACAAGGACACUUGAUUUCAAAAUUGGGCUUUAAUACUUUGGGACCUUAAUUCAUAAGAGCGUUUAAUAUGUGCCCUUUUAAUUUCUCUGUGAAGAAUUUGAUACUGGCAAUGGUGUACUUUCAAAUUUGCAACAUUUCUAUGAUUUCUGAAUUGUAUUACUGGAUGCUUUUAUGUAUUUAACCUUAGUGUGUCACUUAACCUCAUCAACUUUCUGUGGUUAGCUGUGCUGUGGAUGGCUGGUCGAACAAAAAGUUGUUUCUGAUCAUUGGUUAUGAGUAGCCCUGGAGUUAAUUUAAAUUAAUGCAAUUUCUCACCCAUAUCAGAGACUUCUGGGAUGAAACUCUAAGUCGUCCACCAGCAGUUCCCGGAGGCCACUCAAAUGAGUAGCCCCAUAAAAGUGUGAGCAGGACUGUCCUGAUAAAGGUCUAUUCUUUUUCCUGAAGGGAGAGCGAUAUUCCGUUAAUUACAGGCUUACAGUCAUAGUUGAGUGGGUUAAGAGAUUGAAAAAACCAGGGAAGCAUUAGUGACAAUUUCCCUUCUCGUUCCUAAUGGUACCUCCAUGUGAAGGGAAUUUGAUUAGUAUAACUUUUAACUUCCCUGCUCUUCUAUUCACUGACACUGGCUGGGUGAGGUGACCUACUUGACUGGCAAAGUUAGGAAGAAUAACUGGCCAUGCUUUGCUAAGCUCUUCUUUCCUUCAUCUUGGGAGUGAGUCUGGUGAUAGAGAGACAAAAGUUCUCUGCUCCACUGUGGACACGCCCCUUUCACAUGGGUUUGCCUGGAACCAACUUGCUGCAACAAAGUGUGUAAGUCUGGAUAAUUCUAGAAUUCAGUUGACAGACUCACUUGGCUGUCUCAUGAAGCCCCUUUUCCCCACAUGGGCUCUAACAGUAAAAAGUGACAUAAUGUGUGGGCUCCAGUGCAAAAUGAAACUAUAGUGCCUCUUGUUCAAACUGCAAAGAAAAAGUGUUGUUGAAAGUAUUUGCACUGGGGUGCAUAGUGUCCUUCCCAAAUUCAUGUUCACCUGGAACCUGUGAAUGUGCCCAAGUAAAUUCUUUUUUCAGAUAGAAUCGAGAUAAGAUGACAUCAUACUGGAUUAGGGUGAGCCCUAAAUGGGUUCUAUGGGUUGUUCUCUCUUCUCUUUUUCAGCCGAAGCGUUUGGCUAAUAUUGGGAAGUAACACGAGUAAGAAAGGAUAUGAUAAGAUUCCUUGGACAUUCUUGUUUCUUACAAAACAACUGCUUUCUUUCUGUGUUAGAAGUAAGUUCAGAUUCAGAUGGAAAGCGUGGCCUCCCGGAGCUGUUAACACCUUCACUUAGUCUUGGAUGUGACCAGUAGCACAGAAUUCUGGUGGAACUCAGUAAGACUCCAAAUGGGUACGAAAUAAGCAUGUCAUGGAAAGCACACCAUAAGCAGGGUGAAAACUAGAUGGGAAUGGGGCAGCAGGAAUGAUGGCAGACACACAUAUUGCACAUGUCUCCUCUGCUCAUGCGUAUAUUUUAUUGUCCCAUAAAUUUUACUUACAAAACGUAAGUUCAAAGAUAAAAUCAUUAAGAAUUUCAAGACAGCAAUAGCAGAGCAUGAAAGCAAGCAAGGCGUGGGGCCCUUCUGAGCAUGGUUCAUGCGGGACUUGACCAACUGGUAAAAGAGUCAAGGCUCUGAGAUGCCCACACCAUGUCAGUGACAGAAGUCCAAGCUAGAGAUAUUGAAGGAGCCCUCAAUGCCACUCAGGCACUGAAAGCCCUGUCACUGAGAAUGAACCAAAGUGUAAAUUUAGGAGGAUAAUUUAUGGACAUUUAGGACUUUUAACCCACAGGAACAAGAAAACUUCAUUUCAAAAGAAAGUGUGAGGUCUUCAAGUUUGCUUUGGUUAUUGAGGGUCCUUUGUGGUUCCAUAUCAAUUUUGGAGCCGUUUCUUCUAUUUCUGCAAAAAUAGGGGAUUGUGACAGGCAUUGCAUUAAAUCUGCAGAUAGCUUCGUGUAAUAUGGACAUUUUAACAAUAGUUCAUGAACAUGAGAUGUCUUUCCAUUUAUUUAUGUCUUCCUUAAUUUCUUUCAGUAACACUGUAGUUUUCAGUGUACAAGUCUUUCAUGUCUUUGGUUAAACUUAUUCCUAAGUAUUUUAUUCUUUUUGAUGCUAUUGUAAAUGGAAUUGUUCUCCUAAUUUCUUUUUCGGAUUGUUCAUUGCUAAUGUGCAGAAAUGCAAGUGAUGCGUAUAUGUUGAUUUCAUAUUCUGCAAACAAACUUUGCUAAGUUGUUUUAUUAGUUCUAAUAAAUUUUUUGUGAAAUA